rnacentral:rRNA from 1 species
AUUGAACGCUGGCGGCAUGCUUUACACAUGCAAGUCGAACGGUAACAGGGAGCUUGCUCCGCUGACGAGUGGCGAACGGGUGAGUAAUGCGUCGGAACGUGCCGAGUAGUGGGGGAUAACGCAGCGAAAGUUGUGCUAAUACCGCAUACGUACUGAGGUAGAAAGUGGGGGACCUUCGGGCCUCACGCUAUUCGAGCGGCCGACGUCUGAUUAGCUAGUAGGUGAGGUAAAGGCUCACCUAGGCGACGAUCAGUAGCGGGUCUGAGAGGAUGAUCCGCCACACUGGGACGGAGACACGGCCCAGACUCCUACGGGAGGCAGCAGUGGGGAAUUUUGGACAAUGGGCGAAAGCCUGAUCCAGCCAUGCCGCGUGUCUGAAGAAGGCCUUCGGGUUGUAAAGGACUUUUGUCGGGGAGGAAAUCCCCAGCGCUAAUACCGCUGGGGGAUGACAGUACCUGAAGAAUAAGCACCGGCUAACUACGUGCCAGCCGCCGCAGUAACAC